CCGAACAAAAGCAUCCAUUGGCACAAUUAAUUAUUAAAAUGAAAAUGGGGAAUCGAAACAUAGCAACAGUGACACAUGGAUCGUCUGGUCCAAUCGAAGUGAGGCGCGUCUCACUCGUCGUCGGCGACGCGGACGAGCUGCUUUCCGACGUUGCGACCGUGGAAGAGUCCUAUGAGCGCCUUGGGCGCGCUCUCGAGCCCCUCGGCGACGUCCUCGACGUAGGCGAGCGUGCCGUCCCUGAUGUACGGCAGCACCCACGCCUCGUACUGCGGGUAGAGGUGCUUGUGGUCGGGCUCGAUGAACCCCUGCAGGCGGAGGCGCUUGGAGAUGACGGCGGCGAGGUUGCGCACGGCGUCCUUCUCCCCGUCCGCCAGGUUGUACUGCGAGAUGAGCCCGCAGACGGCGAUCCGUCCGUGCACGCGCAUGUUGAGCAGGACGGCGUCGAGCAUGGCGCCGCCGACGUUCUCGAAGUAGAUGUCGAUGCCGUCGGGGAAGCAGCGCUUGAGCGCGGCGCCGAGGUCGGGCUCCUCCUUGUAGUUGAAGGCGUCGUGGAAGCCGAACCUGGUCUUGAGCAGCUCCACCUUCUCCCGGGACCCGGCGCUGCCGACGACGUGGCAGCCGGCGAGCCUGGCGAACUGGCCCACCAGCUGGCCGACGGCGCCGGACGCGGCGGACACGAACACGGUCUCGCCCUUCUUCGGCGCGCAGAUCUCGUGGAAGCCCACGUACGCGGUGAGCCCCGGCAUGCCGAGGAUGCCGGUGUAGUAGGACAGCGGCACGCCCGCCCCCUCCCCGACCCCGUGGUGGGAGAUCUUGGAGAGGAGCCUGGUGGCGGGCGGCGUCACGACGCUGUAGUCCUCCCAGCCGGUGAUGCCCCAGACGAGGUCCCCGGGCGCGAGGCGCGGGUCGGAGGAGUCGACCACGCGCGCGACGCCGUAGCCUGUGAUGGUGUCGCCCGGGACGAAGGCGGCCGUGUAGGACUCCCGCAGCGGGCGCGACAUCUUGGGCCGCAUGUAGGGGUCGCAGGAGAGGUAGAGGUUCCUGACGAGGACGGACCCGGCCGGCUCGGCGCCCGUCAGGCGGAGGGGAACCUCGGCGCCCUGGAGCAGCUCCAUGUGCUCCUCGCGAGGAUAUCCCUCCACGUACUCCUUGAGGAUCACCCGCCGGUUCGUCGCCGUCGUCGCCAUCGGGGCCUGCUUGUGCUCGGAUCUAUCCCUCUGCGACUCUGCUUUGCUGUGCCGUGCUCUGCUUUCCUCCGCUGAGGAGGAUUGAGUUCAGUGUAGUACUUUUGUUUGGAUAUUGAGAUUUGCUAGUUGCAGUAGUAUAUUGAGAUUUGCAAAUGCAAUAAGUGAUGGUGAAUUAUUGGGGGACCCGGGCGGGCUGCGCAGCCUUCAACGGGGCAUGAUUAGUGGGUCCUUUUGGAUACAGAUACUAGAGAUGUUGCAAUUGAAUUAGAUCUAAUACUAAAACUGUUUAGUACUGAAAAUAAAUUUUAAUAUAAAUAUCUUGUUUGGAUGU
rnacentral:misc_RNA from 1 species